GAGGCCGAGCAACAGCAACGAGAGGAAGAGAAUGGCGCAGAUGAUGAGCAUAAUUUGAAAUCCUGUCAAUGGCGGUUCGGGCAACGGAGCUGGCGCUGGAGUGGCCAAACUUGUUGGGGAAGAAAAACAUCCAGUCUUAAGAGAUCCAAUUUUCAAGAAGCAUAAAGGAUCCAUUUAUUAAUAAAACUGGAUAAGAAAUUUCAUGGAAGUAACGGCAAUAAUUUAUCAAGAUGCAA